UAAGCACACGUUACCCUAUGUUCCCAAUGGGCCCCUAUUCCCUAUAUAGUACACUACUUUAGACCAGGGCCCUAUUCCCUAUAUAGUGCACUACUUUAGACCAGAGCCCUAUUCCCUAUAUAGAACACUACUAUAGACCAGAGCCCUAUUCCCUAUAUAGUACACUACUUUAGACCAGGGCCCUAUUCCCUAUAUAGUACACUACUUUAGACCAGAGCCCUAUUCCCUAUAUAGUACACUACUUUAGACCAGAGCCCUAUUCCCUAUAUAGUACACUACUAUAGACAGGGCCCUAUUUCCUAUAUAGUGCACUACUAUAGACCAGGGCCCUAUUCCCUAUAUAGUACACUACUAUAGAUCAGAGCCCUAUUCCCUAUAUAGUACACUACUUUAGACCAGAGCCCUAUUCCCUAUAUAGUGCACUACUAUAGACCAGAGCCCUAUUCCCUAUAUAGUGCACUACUUUAGACCAGAGCCCUAUUCCCUAUAUAGUACACUACUAUAGACCAGAGCCCUAUUCCCUAUAUAGUGCACUACUUUAGACCAGAGCCCUAUUCCCUAUAUAGUGCACUACUUUAGACCAGAGCCCUAUUCCCUAUAUAGUACACUACUUUAUACUAUAUAUUAUAUAGUUCUAGAAGGUUCUUUGUGAUUGACCCCAACCCUGUCCUCUGUUUACAGUAAUAGUUCUAGAAGGUUCUUUGUGUUUGACCCCAACCCUGUCCUCUGUUUACAGUAAUAGUUCUAGAAGGUUCUUUGUGUUUGACCCCAACCCUGUCCUCUGUUUACAGUAAUAGUUCUAGAAGGUUCUUUGUGUUUGACCCCAACCCUGUCCUCUGUUUACUGUAAUAGUUCUAGAAGGUUCUUUGUGUUUGACCCCAACCCUGUCCUCUGUUUACUGUAAUAGUUCUAGAAGGUUCUUUGUGUUUGACCCUAACCCUGUCCUCUGUUUACAGUAAUAGUUCUAGAAGGUUCUUUGUGAUUGACCCCAACCCUGUCCUCUGUUUACAGUAAUAGUUCUAGAAGGUUCUUUGUGUUUGACCCCAACCCUGUCCUCUGUUUACAGUAAUAGUUCUAGAAGGUUCUUUGUGAUUGACCCCAACCCUGUCCUCUGUUUACAGUAAUAGUUCUAGAAGGUUCUUUGUGAUUGACCCCAACCCUGUCCUCUGUUUACAGUAAUAGUUCUAGAAGGUUCUUUGUGAUUGACCCCAACCCUGUCCUCUGUUUACAGUAAUAGUUCUAGAAGGUUCUUUGUGAUUGACCCUAACCCUGUCCUCUGUUUACAGUAAUAGUUCUAGAAGGUUCUUUGUGAUUGACCCCAACCCUGUCCUCUGUUUACAGUAAUAGUUCUAGAAGGUUCUUUGUGAUUGACCCCAACCCUGUCCUCUGUUUACAGUAAUAGUUCUAGAAGGUUCUUUGUGAUUGACCCCAACCCUGUCCUCUGUUUACAGUAAUAGUUCUAGAAGGUUCUUUGUGAUUGACCCUAACC